UUUUUGUUUUCUUUUAUAAUACUUUAAAACUGUCGGCCAAGAUCUAUCAAUAUGGAGGGCCCACAUAAUUAGGUGUUUCCUCACCAAUAAUGCGCUCACACGCGUCACAUAUUCAGAGGAAGUCCAUAUCACGUGACACAAGAUCAUUGGCCGUGACCCGGAUUGAAUUAACACUGCCGAUGUGACGUACUCUAGCGAGAAACGUUAUACUUAAAAAAAAUACACAAGUUUUUUUAACACAAAUGGUUCACGGGGUAUACUAGUAUUUAAAAUACUUGGCACAGAAAGUUUCUAUGGUUCUAUUCCACACCUCAUCUCACACUUUUCUCUGCUAACUCUUUCUAUGGAUUCUCUCUAGUUUUAUUUGCCAUCUCAAAUCAUUUACGAAAAAAGACAUCAUCAAGCAAUGUUCAAUCGGACUUGAAGAUUCUUAACAAAACAAGCCAAAAGUCUAAGGUUUAGGAGAAUUUUGAGCACGUUGAAGAUGGAGUUGGCAAGCAAUGGGUAGGAUGUCAUGGUGUUAGGGAUUGUUUACAACACAAAGAAUUUUGACGAUGACACUGGCAUGGUGCAUGUCGGCAUGUAGAAAAGAAAAACGCUUGAUAAUUUACCGCGACAAGCUCAAAUACAUGGAAACUUAACUUUUCCAUUUCGACAAUGCCAAGGCACGAGAGUUGACGGUGGAAUGUGUUUAAAGAAGGGCCGGCUACCAUUUGAUUAUUAUUUUUUUUUUUGGAAAAACAAAUAUAUUCUAUUUUACUCCUAUAUAACACUUAAAUCUCCAUCUAUGUCUCUCCACCACCUGUGAUUUAUUCCAAAUGUGUUAUAACCUCGAUUUCCUCAAGUAAGUCGUACUAUUUUAAAACAUGAUAUAUAUAUAUAUAUAUAUAUAUAUAUAUAUACUAUCUUAUAAAAAAAAUCUUAUUAUUUUUAAAAAUAUAUUAAAUAUAAUAAUAUUAUUUUUUUAAGACGUACACAGCUAAAAAUACAACUAACCAUUAAUAAAAUAAUAUUAAUUUGUAAAAUAUUAUUUACAUUUUGAAUUUGUCCUACAUACAUAGAUUGCAACUAUCUAAUGCAUAACUUUUGGAACAUAUUUUAUCCGCCUUUUAUCUUUUACACAUAUAUCAGAACUUAAUACUUAUUUAUUUAACAAUUGUUGAAUCCGUCAUCCUACUUAAAUGCAUAACUGACCAAUUUCAACAUUUUAAAUUUCAAAAAUACAAUUGAAACCCUAAAAUCUCAAGUUCUCUGUAUAAACCAAGGAUUCCAAGUCAGCCUCUACCCAUGUUUUCGCCUUCAACAAUUUAUAUUUCUUUAGAUCUAGCAACAAGCAUUUACAUGGAUGUGUGGAGCACAUAUGAUGGUGUUACAGCCCCCCAUCUGCACACCACUAACAUUGUCGUGUCUCUUCUUCAACCUCAGUUCCCUAACAUGAACUUGCUUUGUCUCCAAACUCUUUCGUUCUUCGACUACUAAGCACCACCACCAUAAUCAAUGCGCUCGACAUUGGCUCCGCCCUUGGACAACUGCCCACUGGCAGCACGACUUCACAUCAAAACACAACCACACAUCUCGCAAUGCUAAAGACAUCGCACAUUCGCACUAUCGUUAUCACACCCACCGGAAGGCUUAACAUCCGCCUCUCUGUCGUUUACCACCAUGGUCCACCCUUCUCUCACUCUCAAAACCUAAUCCCCAUUUUCAAUAUAUGUUUAAUGUUUUAUAUGUGUUCUCACACGAAAUUCUAUUUUUAUUGGUUUUCUUGUUGAUUCCAUAUAUGUAUUGCUGGACUGAAGCUUGAACAAGAAACUCCCAAUGCUCCUAUGUUCCCUAACCAUGAAAUGAUUCUUUUAUUGCAGGAAACUUCUACAGAUCCAUGGAUGUAUUGUAUGUAUGUGUUUUUUUUUCUUUUUUAUGAAUUUCUAGGGCUUUGAUCAGUUUUGAUUUGAUUUAUUUUUAUAUAAGAAAGUUAUAUUGAUCUAUUGCAUAACUAUUUUCAAACUACAUGAGGUUUUUAAAUUGAUUUCAGAAAACAUUGGAAUCUAAGCCCAAUGUUGAACAAUUUGGCUUAUUGGAAGUAAUUCUUGCAACAAACUGGAUACAAGUUCUCCUACUAGGAAACACUAAGGAUAUCAUUCUCAUAUAGGUUCCUGUUAUGAGACACUUGGUAUGUUACAUUUCAAUUUUUUUGGUUUUUUAAUUAAGAUGGUAACUUUGUAUAUUUUUAGUGGUUUAAAUAUGUGGUUUUCAUAUAAUUUUCAACCAAGACAGAAUUCGUAAGGCAUACAUUUUUUCCAGUCGUGUUCUUGUAUAUAAACACCCCGUCUUUAUAAACAUAUUUGAUGUCUGUAUGUGCUAAUUUGAUGUUGUUUUUGCUAUGGAUGUGCAGGUUAUUGAUUAUGUAUUGGAUAGACAAAAGGAGACUGAAUGGAUGUGCAUCGUGUUGUAUUGCAUAUAGCGAUAUAUGUACAAGUUUUAUCAUCACUAUUUUUAAUGUUUUUUGAGGACAUCCGUUGAUAUCUGAAAGGAAGCCAAGUACAAAAUUUGACAUUUUUUGAGUGUUGGGUUCUUAGUUGGUGGGAAGACUCUACGUGGGAAAUUAGAAAUUAUAGGGAAUCUAAUGCAUAGGGCUUGUUGAAGGGAUCAGAUGCCAUUGUUUCAUGCCAAGUCUUCAUAUAAACCAUCAUGUCCUCACAUGUUAAUACCUAGAAACAAAAGAGACAAAAAAAAUUUAUUUUGCCUUAUUAUUCUCCUUUUUACUUAAGUAAUCCGGAAACGUUAAUUAGGUGGAAAAAACAUAACUUUACCUUUUUUUUUGGUUUAUAGUAGUAUAAUCCAUUUUUGACAAAUCUGUUUUUCAUAUAGGAUGAAGUGAUUAAUAUCAAUACUUUUUUUUGGUUUAUAGUCAGUAUAUAGUUAGUUUUUAUAACAAUUUUAUUUUCAUGUAGGAUAGAAUGGGUAACAGUGGCAGGAAAUGGAAGCUGUGGAGGAGAUAAUAAAGGCAGUCAGUCAGGUGUUGAUUGCAAGGGUUUCGAAGGAAGCUACAUGGGCAAAAUCUCUUUAUUAUGAGUCAUGGUUGAUUUUAAAAGACCAAUUAUAACAAGAAGAGGAUGUAUGAGCAUUUUAUUGGUUAUCUAUUAUUAUUGAUUAUAUAUUUAUUUAAUUUAAA